AUUGAACGCUGGCGGCAGGCCUAAAACAUGCAAGUCGAACGAGCGGCGGACGGGUGAGUAAUGUAUGGGGACUGCCCGAUAGAGGGGGAUAACUAAUGGAAACGGUGGCUAAUACCGCAUACUAUCGGAUAACCCAUAUGGGAGUAGCUAGUAGGUAUGGUAAUGGCUUACCUAGGCGACGAUCCCUAGCUGGUCUGAGAGGAUGAUCAGCCACACUGGGACUGAGGCACGGCCCGGACUCCUACGGAGUCAGCAGUGGGGAAUAUUGCACAAUGGGCGCAAGCCUGAUGCAGCCAUGCAGCGUGUAUGAAGAAGGCCCUAGGGUUGUAAAGUACUUUCAGUCGGGAGGCGUUACCGACAGAAGAAGCACCGGCUAACUCCGUGCCAGCAGCCGCGGUAAUUC
rnacentral:rRNA from 1 species